UUUAUUUGAAGACAAAUUAGGAGAGAAAAUGGAUAGAAUAAGAGAAGUGAAUGAAGCAUAGUCCUAACUGCAAAGUCCGAAGAAGCUUAUAAUUGGCUAAUUGCAUCCCUUUGUUUUCCUUGUUAGGGUUUUGCUGCCUGUGAUUACUAGAGAAGGUGACUUCUUCGUGAUCAAUAUCUCCUUCACGGAAGCCUGUCGGAGAAGCGAUCACGGUCGGGCAAAGGAAUCAAAUUGGAUUGAGCUUUUGUACAUAUCGUCUUGAUAAAAACAAAAAAAAAAAAAAUGUCUGGACGAAAUCUUGGUCCUCAUCCGAUAAAAGGUGCACCCCACACUGUGAUGGCUCCACCUAUUCACGAGCCGCCACCCUUUGCAAGAGGCUGCGGGCCAGUUCCUUAUCCUGUAAUGCUUGAGGAAAUGAGAGAGUCACAGUAUGGGAUGCCGCCACCCAGGCAAAUCGCUCCACACCCUGCUAUCCUUGAGGAGCAUCUUGCAGCUCAGCAUGAGGAUAUUCAAGGAUUACUGGUUGACAACCAGAGGUUGGCUGCAACUCAUGUAGCACUCAAAGAGGAACUAGAAGUUACACAAUUUGAUCUUCAGCGAACAGAUCAAUAUGCACGUGCCUUGUAUGCUGAGAAUGACAUGCAAAUCAGAGAACUUUAUGAGAAGUCUGCAAAGAUGGAAAUGGAUCUCCAAUCUGUAGAAGUUAUGAGAGUUGAGCUUAUGCGAGUACGUGCUGAUAUUAAAGAUUUAAAUGCUUCAAAACAAGAGCUCACUACUGAACUCCAGGGGAUGACUCAAGAUUUGACUAGGAUGAACGCAGAUUUGCAACGAACUCCAGCUAUAAAGGCAGAAAUUGAAAAUCUUAGACAGGAAUUGCAGCGAUCAAGGGCUGCCAUUGAGAACGAGAAGAAGGGAUAUGCAGCAAACUAUGAGCAUGGUCAGGUUAUGCAAAAGAACUUGCACUCAAUGUCUCGAGAACUGGAAACGCUCCGUGCAGAGAUGGCCAAUGCAGAAAAGAAAGCUCGUGCUGCAGCUUCAGUUGGGAAUCCGGUUGCAGGUUAUAAUGGAAAUUAUGCUAAUCCUGAGUCAGGCUAUGCCGGAAAUUAUUAUCCUGUUGGUUAUGGCAUGAACCCCAUAAAUCCCGUGCAUCCUACUGGAGCUGAAGGUUAUUCUCAAUAUGGACCUGGACCUGGACCUGCUGCCUGGGGUGCUUAUAAUAUGCAGCAAGCUCAAGGACUCAGAUGAACUAGUUUAUACUAGGUUGCAACCUUGUGUUUUGCAUACUGCAUUCUGGUACUACACGUUGGAACCCAGAGUUUGGUUUCAGAUGAUAGAAACUUGAUUAUUCUGGGACAUGCUUUAUUUGGGUAGAAAAUUUGCAUGUCUGUUGCUGUUUGUUUCAUAAUCCAGGACAAGUAUUUGUCACCAUGUUUUAUAGGAGAUAUUUUAUGGUAUGCUUAGUUGCCUUGUUUUGUCUACUUUCACUUAUUUCAUCCUUGAAAAAAAUGCAAUCUGUGCAUUGUUAUAUUGAAGCAGCUUCAUAUUUGCAAAUACUAUAUAUUUGCAGUUUCUAUAAUCAAGCAGGCUCUAUGUGCGAAUACUAAACUGAAGCAGCUCGGAUCCUUGUAAUUGUUCCUAUGUGUUUAAUUAUAGGUAUCUGUCAGGUGUAUCUUCAUUUCCAUAGCACAUAAGCAUUUUCUUUUAGUGCUUGUUUGGCUCAUCUUAUUUUGGAGCUUAUCUACUAAAAAAAAAAUAGGAGUGGGGCCAAUACUAAAUAAUAUAACAAGGGGGUUUUGCGGUGGUUAAGAGUAAAAAAACCAGUGCCCCCUUUUUGUACAAGCCAUUAGCUGGGCCAAACAAAUACUUAGGAGCUUAUUACUUCAAUGGAGGAUGAUUAAUCCCUGUUGCUAAUGUGAAUUAUGAAGGGAUCAUGAAUCCCUUCAAUAGUGAACAGAUUAUUAAUCCCACCCGGCCACCCCUCGCACCACUUUAUUCUAUCCCAUUUUUUCUAAAGAUUAGGUGGUGGGCCAGCACUUAAUUCAGCACCUUAUUUUUUGGACCAAUUAGGAGAAGAGGGGAUUAUUAGACCAACCCCGCUUGGUCCCUCAAAGCCAAUUGAUCUGUAUAUAAUAGAUGGCCUCUUCUAUGGUUGCUUUACAAGUUAAAAUGGUUUUGGUGGUUUCUAGACUCUAGUGAUGUCCUUUUGUUCUUCACUCAAGAAUAGCUGUAUCCGAAUCUCCUUUGUUUGUUCUUUGGAUGUUACAUCCUUGGUUUUGUGGGGUUGGUAGAAGAGUAGUUCAACCCUUGCAGAUGCAACGCUAUUGAAAAUAUGGAGAAUAACUGAUGGACUUUUGAGGUAGUGGAAGCUUAAGAAAGGGAGUGCAGACUGAUGUGCUCCUUCAAACAGCAUAAAGAAGCAUUAUCUAGUAUUUUGAUGUAACCCAUGUUCUGUUGAGUCUUGUAUAUUUGGAGGCUGGAGACUUGUCCUGGAAUAAGAGUAAUGUUCCCCUUAUCUGAAUCCUUACAUUCAUAUGUGCACAUUUGAGAAGACCAAGUAUUAAGCAGUCUGGAAGUUUGGAGCUUUGGGCUUGAAGGGAACUAUUUCCCAUCAAUAUGUAUUAGUAUCUCUCUGUGCUGAUUUCUAAUAGGGUGGAAUAGCCAAACUUCUUUGUGAAUCUUUUCUGCACCAGUCUCUUGCCCAUGGAAAUGAAGACGAAAAAGAGGUCAAAUGCCAAUAAAAGAAGGUGCUGAUUGGUACUUGGAUUUCAGCGAGGACUGUUAGUUCCACUCAAUCUUUACAUGAAAAUGUGAUUGACUAAGAUUUGGUAUAGGUGCUGCAGAAUGCAUCUCUGCUACCAAAUACUGACUGGGAUUGAGGGAGGAAUCGAGGUAAACUUGCAAAGAAGCUAUUGGAGAUUCAUAUUAAUUGUUUCCAUUUGCCAUUGCAAUAUGAGGUCACAUGUACAGAUACAAUCGAUUAACACUCAAAAUCUUAUACCAAUAUUGACACAGAGAUUUGCAAGAGUUCAA